CAACGUUAAUCGGAGCAGGGUGAGUCGACCCCUAAGGCGAGGCUGAAAAGCGUAGUCGAUGGGAAACGGGUUAAUAUUCCCGUACUUGUGGUAACUGCGAAGGGGGGACGGAGAAAGUUAGGCUAUCCGGGCGACGGUUGUCCCGGUUUAAGCGUGAAGGUGGAGAGACUAGGCAAAUCCGGUCUUUCAUUAACACUGAGGCGUGAUGACGAAGCACUACGGUGCUGAAGUAGCUGAUACUACGCUUCCAGGAAAAGCCUCUAAGCAUCAGGUUACCAGAAAUCGUACCCCAAACCGACACAGGUGGUCAGGUAGAGAAUACUCAGGCGCUUGAGAGAACUCGGGUGAAGGAACUAGGCAAAAUGGUGCCGUAACUUCGGGAGAAGGCACGCUGAUGGUAGGUGAAGUCCCUUGCGGAUGGAGCCGAA
rnacentral:rRNA from 1 species